GGGGGAAAAGGGUGGGAAAACCUGAGAAAAUAGGAAGGGGAGCAGCUGAGAAAGCUGCAGAAAGAAGGCUGCAGUGAUGGACCUGGACCCACGCAGUAAGGGGCUCUACAGCCAAGACCCCCCAAGACCGCCAUGUGUCCCAGUGUCCCCCCGCCCCAGGGACAAGGCAGUCUCGGGUGUCCUCAAGAGGGGCAAUGUCCCUGUGUCCUGCCCAGUUCCCCCCUCAGGUCCUCCUGGGGGGAUCCCACAGCUGGAGGUGCUGCUGAAGCAGAUGCACAGCCUGCAGAAAGUCCGUGAGGCCACGGCACAGGAGCUGGUGAAGGCACAAGACUGCAGUGAGGGGUUGCGGCAGCACCUGGAGCAGCUGGAGCAGCGCAAGGAGGCACUGGAGAGGUCCUGGCAGCAGGUGCAGGAGUCACUGCAGAGAGCACAGCUGCAAGGGAAGGAGGUGGAGGCCAAAGGUCAGAGGCGCUGUGGGCUCUGCCUGGAGCAGCAGCAGGACAUGGAAGGGACAAAGCAGCACUGGAAGCAGCUGAAAGACCUGCGCCGGGGACACAGGUGGCAGCACUGCCAGCAGCUCGAGUCCAUCAUGGAGGAGCUCAAGCACCUGCGUGUCACACACGCUCCGGCCCACCUGGAGGCUGAACUGGUGCAGCUGGAGAAGAUGGAGGAGAAGUGGCUGAACUGGGAGCGCCGCGUGAUGGACACCGAGGAGCAGCUGGGCCCACAGGCACCUGUGCUCAGGCGAUUGGUGCAGCAGGACCAGGAGGGGGCGCUGCGACAGCUGGAGGUGGAGCUGGGCCGGCAGCGGCUGAGCCGGCGGCGCCGGGACAGGUUGGCCGAGGAGCUGCAGCAGCUGCAGCGCCCCCUCGAGGCUCAGCCAGAGUGAUGGGGACAAGAUGGACACACCCCAUGGGACACCUGUGCCACCUGUGCGACACCUCUGCGUGCCACCUGCACCCCACCCGUGCCUGCCGUGUUCUCAUGUCCCCCAUUUGUCCCCCCACGUCCCCAAUGUCCCCUCUUGUCCCCAUUUUCCCCAUGUGCCCCCCCACAUUCCCUCAGGUCCCCGAUGUUCCCCAUGUCCCAGUUCUCUCCCAAUGUCCUCAUGUCCCCUCAAGUCCCUUCAUGUCCCUCCAUGUCCCCUCAUAUCCCCAAUGUCCCCAUGUCCCCACAUAUCCCCAUUUUCCCCAUGUCUCCCGAGGUCCCCCAUGUCCCCCAUGUCCUCAUUUUCCCCCAAUGUCCCCUCAGGUCCCCCCCAUGUCCCCAUUUUCCCCCCAAUGUCCCCUCAGGUCCCCAUGGGCCCCAUGUCCCCCAUGUCCCCAUUUCCCCCCCAAUGUCCCCAGUGUCCCCUCACAUCCCCAGUGUCCCCCACGUCCCCAAUAAACGCCCUGC
rnacentral:lncRNA from 1 species